AUGGUAACUACUGUCUAUGGGCCUCAAACAGAGCAGGACAAGAAAAGAUUUCUUGAGGAACUGGAAGGCAUUGGUGAACAGGUGCGGGGUCCGUGGAUUCUCAAUGGUGAUUUCAACCUGGUGAGGCACGAGGAAGAACGCAGCACGGGGAGAGCCAACAGAAGGAUGGUGAGCAAGUUUCGUCAUACCAUAAGCAAGUUGUGUCUGCACGAGAUGCCUCUGGUCGGAAGGAAAUUUACGUGGUGCAAUGGGCAGGAGCACCCAAUCAUGGCCAAGCUUGACAGGCUGUUUUUCAACAAUGCUUGGGAAGAUGUCUACCCGAUCAGUGAUCUACAUCCCUUGAGCUCAAGCAUCUCUGAUCACUGCCCCAUGCUGCUUUCCGUUUCAGCGGAUCGCCCGCGGUCCUAUAGAUUCAGAUUUGAA
rnacentral:rRNA from 1 species